rnacentral:rRNA from 1 species
UAGUGUAGCGGUGAAAUGCGUAGAUAUUAGGAAGAACACCAGUGGCGAAGGCGCUCUACUGGGCCAUUACUGACGCUGAUGGACGAAAGCUAGGGGAGCGAAAGGGAUUAGAUACCCCUGUAGUCCUAGCUGUAAACGAUGGACACUAGGUGUUGGCCGUAUCGACCCGGUCAGUAUCGAAGCAAACGCGUUAAGUGUCCCGCCUGGGGAGUACGCACGCAAGUGUGAAACUCAAAGGAAUUGACGGGGGCCCGCACAAGCGGUGGAGUAUGUGGUUUAAUUCGAUGCAACGCGAAGAACCUUACCAGGGAUUGACAUCCUACGAACCCUUUUGAAAGGAAGGGGUGCCUUCGGGAGCGUAGAGACAGGUGGUGCAUGGCUGUCGUCAGCUCGUGUCGUGAGAUGUUGGGUUAAGUCCCGCAACGAGCGCAACCCUCGUCCUUAGUUGCCAUCAUUAAGUUGGGCACUUUAAGGAGACUGCCGGUGACAAACCGGAGGAAGGUGGGGAUGACGUCAAGUCAUCAUGCCCCUUACAUCCUGGGCUACACACGUACUACAAUGCAACGGACAAAGGGCAGCCAACUAGCGAUAGUGCGCCAAUCCCAUAAACCGUUGCUCAGUUCAGAUUGCAGGCUGCAACUCGCCUGCAUGAAGGCGGAAUCGCUAGUAAUCGCAGGUCAGCAUACUGCGGUGAAUACGUUCCCGGGCCUUGUACACACCGCCCGUCACACCAUGGAAGUUGGCCACGCCCGAAGUCGUUACCCCAACCGUUUACGGAGGGGGACGCCGAAGGCAGGGCUGAUGACUGGGGUGAAGUCGUAACAAAGGUAACC